rnacentral:siRNA from 1 species
UAUAAGAAGUAUUUAUGGGUCCA